UACGAGAGGCCCAAACGUUUAUUCGGAUUUACUGGGCUUAAAGAGUUCGUAGGCGGCGCGGAAAGUAGGGUGUGAAAGCCCUCGCUCAACCGAGGAACUGCGCUCUAAACUGUCGUGCUUGAGGAAGCUAGAGGUGAGCGGAACUGAUGGUGGAGCGGUGAAAUGCGUUGAUAUCAUCAGGAACACCGGAGGCGAAGGCGGCUCACUGGGGCUUAUCUGACGCUGAGGAACGAAAGCCAGGGGAGCAAACGGG
rnacentral:rRNA from 1 species